UACGUAGGGGGCGAGCGUUGUCCGGAUUCAUUGGGCGUAAAGGGCUCGUAGGCGGCCAACUAAGUCCGACGUGAAAUCCCCAGGCUUAACCUGGGAACUGCGUCGGAUACUGGAUGGCUUGAAUCCGGGAGAGGGAUGCGGAAUUCCAGGUGUAGCGGUGAAAUGCGUAGAUAUCUGGAGGAACACCGGUGGCGAAGGCGGCAUCCUGGACCGGCAUUGACGCUGAUGAGCGAAAGCCAGGGGAGCAAACGGG
rnacentral:rRNA from 1 species